rnacentral:lncRNA from 1 species
CCUUGGCAAAGAGGAAGAAACCACGGGGAAGGCGGGAUAUGGAAAUUGAAGACAAUGAGCAAAAUGAAAACAAGGUGAAAGCAGAAGCCAAAGUUUCGACUAAUGAACUUGACUUUUUCAAGACAAGUCCACUUGAAAAAGACAAGCCUACUUGUCGAAUCAUUAGCACCUGCAUUCACCUUGUACUCCUUUUGCUCAUCACUAUUUUGAUGACACACAGCUCUCCAAACAAUGUUCGCAAAUGCUCCAUCGAGUAGCGUUUUCCUCCAAUGUUGUAAUGCAGGAAGACGCAACGGCAACGUGGGGACACCAGACUUGUAGCCUGCAAGCAGGUUGCAACCCUGUACACGGCGGCCAGAAGCAGCCGUCGAAACUCCUUUGUUAGGGCAAGCCAUUAUGCGCUCAGGCAGCACUCAUCUAC